rnacentral:ncRNA from 8 species
GUUGACCUCGGAUCAGGUAGGAAUACCCGCU